UGGGCUCAGCAGGGCGGCUGUGCCCACAAAGGGUCCCUGUGUGUGGCACACAGGCAAAUGGGAGAGGGAAAUGGAGCAGCCCCAGCUCGGGCAAUAAUUCCUGACACAGCCCUGCUGUGGGACACAACAACUGCUCCUCCUUUUCCAGAGCACUCCAGGGUGAAAGAUUUGCAGAUUUUGGGAAAAACACUGACUUUCAAUGCCCUUAGACCUUUGCCAUCACUCCUGCAUCAGUCCAGGCCAUGCAGGAGGGAUGGCAAAGGUUUCAGGGCAUUGAAACCUGGACACCUCUCCUCUCCGUGGUGUCCAGGUCUUUCAGGGGGGAAUGUGACCAUUCCUGAUGUGCAGAGCUUCUGCAGGACUUGCUUUGACUCACCUGCUGCUGGUUGGGAAUAUUUGUUGCAUUUGACCCAGAGGCAGUCUUGGUGAGGAUAAGAAUGAAGGAGGAUGCAGGAGCCAAAGGAUGGAACCAGAGGAUGGAGCCAAGGAUGGAGCCAAGGAUGGAGCCAGAGGAUGGAGCCAAGGAUGGAGCCAGAGGAUGGAGCCACCCUUGGUGGCUUUGCAGGGUGGCUGCAGGCAGCCCGGGGAACAUCUGCCUCUGCCAGGCUGUGUCUCCUCCUGCUGAUGUGGGGAAUUGCUGGGAAGGGCUGCUGGGGAAACUGGAAGAAAGCCAAACCACUGGCAAAUGGUGGCUGUGAGGAGGAGGAGGAGGAUGAGAGGGGACCUUUGCUGGAUGAGGCCCCACUGCCCAGUUCAAUGCCUCUGCUCCCAGUUGCUCUGUGGUCCAGGGACUCAAAAAUUAAAAUGUUCAUCUCCAUCACGUGGGAAAUAAUUCUGCCACCACUGGCAGUGCCUGGCUUUGCACUGGGCAGUGGGCAGCAGCAUCUGCCCUCUCCUGCCCCUGCCCCUGCCAGAUGCCACCUCCCAGGGGACCCAGGGACAAGGAGAAGGGAUGGGAACUGCCCAGUGAGGCAGAAUUUGCUCCCUGCCAUGCCACAGCCCAUGUGCCGUGGUAGAAUGGGGUCUGCAGCCCCCUUAGGCUCCUCUGCUGCCUUUUGGGAACAUCACAGCCCCGGACUUUGAGGCUUUUUUUGGAAAAUGUCACCAGCUUGUGAUGAGUCAGCCGUGGCUGUGUGCAGCCUGCCCAGCGCUCCGUGCGGGGCGUGGGGCUGUCCCCAAGGCCAUUCCCGCUGCUCUUUGCACUCACAUCAUCCUGGGGACACGAGAGGCUGUGCUGGGCCGGGGCUGAGCCGGGGGCUGGGCCGCCAGGGCCGUGUUUGGCCGGCCGGAGCCGCAGGGACAGACGGACACAUGGGUGCUGCAGCUGCCAUCCCCGGCAGAGGCACCUCCGGAGCCCGCAGCAAAGGCUGCGCUCCCAAGUGACUCCCGGUGGAAGGGAAGGGGCUGGGGCGGCGCGGGGAGAGCGCUGGGGGCUGUGCUGCAAGCAGGGAUGGGUGGGAGGUGUCCAGGUGUGAUGGAAGGGAUGAUCCAGCUCCGAAUAAAGCAGAAACGCCAGAGGCUGCUUAUGGGCCA
rnacentral:lncRNA from 1 species